CUGCCGGUGUAAGUCCGGUCACGGUAAUCGCCAGUGAGCCGUGUAGCUAAAUCCGGUGCGUUACAGUAAUGUAGGGUGCUAAGCGGAUGGAUAAAGUCGCACCAUAGACGAUUUAAUUGAAGUUAUCUGCAUGACAUAA
rnacentral:ncRNA from 1 species